GACGAACGCUGGCGGCGUGCUUAACACAUGCAAGUCGAACGGAAAGGCCCUGCUUUUGUGGGGUGCUCGAGUGGCGAACGGGUGAGUAACACGUGAGUAAUCUGCCCUUGACUUUGGGAUAACUUCAGGAAACUGGGGCUAAUACCGGAUAGGAGCUCCUGCUGCAUGGUGGGGGUUGGAAAGUUUCGGCGGUUGGGGAUGGACUCACGGCUUAUCAGCUUGUUGGUGGGGUAGUGGCUUACCAAGGCUUUGACGGGUAGCCGGCCUGAGAGGGUGACCGGCCACAUUGGGACUGAGAUACGGCCCAGACUCCUACGGGAGGCAGCAGUGGGGAAUAUUGCACAAUGGGCGGAAGCCUGAUGCAGCAACGCCGCGUGCGGGAUGACGGCCUUCGGGUUGUAAACCGCUUUCGCCUGUGACGAAGCGUGAGUGACGGUAAUGGGUAAAGAAGCACCGGCUAACUACGUG
rnacentral:rRNA from 1 species